AAUCUCAUCUCUCUCUCUCUUUCACACACACACACACACAAAAGAAGAGUUCUCUUUUACAGAAGACUUAUAAAAGUCUUUUGAAGUUUCAAAUCUGAAACUUAUUAAAGUGUUCAAUGAAGAGUACUCGAAACAUCCCUAGUUUUCAUGGGGUUGGUGGUUACAGUGGCUUAAGAGCUCGUAACCUAACAUUCAAGAAAGUUGUGAAGCAAGUGAUGAGAGACCAGUCAAAUAAUCAUUACAUGGUUCUUAUGGAGAACAUGCUCAGAAGAAUUGUUCGAGAGGAGACAAAUCUCAUUCUUCAACCUUUCCUCGCUUCAUCGCGGGUCUCAAUGGAGCGAUCGCGUUCUGAAACGCCAUCGUCGCGUCCACGUUUCAAGCUGCGAUUUAUAAACUCGCCGCCUUCAUCGAUAUUCACGGGGUCCAAGAUCGAAGCUGAGGACGGUACUCCGUUAGUGAUCGAGCUCGUGGACGCCACCACCAACAGUCGAGUCAGUUCCGGACCGUUCUCGUCUUCACGGGUCGAGCUCGUGCCGUUGAACGCUGACUUCUCGGAGGAAAGUUGGACCGUCGAGGGAUUCAAACGGAAUAUUCUCACGCAACGUGAAGGGAAACGACCGUUGCUCACCGGAGAUUUAACGGUGACGCUUAAAAACGGCGUUGGAGUUAUAACCGGAGAUGUCGCUUUCUCUGAUAAUUCUAGCUGGACUAGGAGUAGAAAGUUCCGGUUAGGUGCUAGGUUGACCGGAGAUGGAGCGAUGGAGGCCAGAAGCGAAGCUUUUGGAUGUAGAGACCAACGAGGGGAAUCUUAUAAAAAACAUCAUCCUCCUCGCCACUUUGACGAUGUUUGGAGACUAGAGAAAAUCGCGAAAGAUGGCGUUUCCGCGACGCGUUUGGCUGAACACAAGAUUUAUACCGUCAAAGAUUUUCGCCGUUGGUAUACGGUAGAUCCAAAUGCGUUAUACAACAUACUUUGUGGAGGGAUCUCAAAGAAAACAUGGAAGGCAAUUGUAUCACACGCAAUGGAUUGCGUUUUGGACGAAACAGAGAGUUACAUUUACGAAGCAAACGCUCCUGGCGUAUUUCUUCUCUUCAACUCUGUUUAUGAACUUAUACAAGUCUCAUUCAAUGGCGAAGAUUUCGAAAACGUCGAUCAACUAACCGCAUAUCAACCGAUUUUGGACCAAUUAAAGCUUGAAGCUUACCAAAACAUUAACCGCAUUACAGCGGUUAAGGAUAGGACUUUUGUGGGUCAUCCACAAAGGUCCUUACAGUGCUUGCAAGAUCCUGGAUUUGGCUUAACAUGUUCUGGAUCACAGCACAUCGACUUUCAAGGAAAUUUGGAUCCAUCAAGCUCUUCUUCGAUGUCAGUUUGCCACACAGCUUCAGGCUCAACGGGCCACGCUGAUAUGCUAAUGAGUUUCGAUAACUCAUCAACCGCGACGUUUCAUAUCGACAAAAAGUUCUUACCGGCUUUGGGAAACAGCUUGAAAGUAAGUGAAGUGGAUCCGGUACACGGCAAAUCGCAAACUGUAGUGACAAGAGGUUGUAUCGAGAACGACGAGGAGGAUGAGAACGCGUUUGCUUAUCAUCAGCAUUACGACAUGACCUCGAACUGGUCACCUGGUACGCACCAAGCCAUUGAAACGAUGUGUCUUACCGUGUCUGGGACAGAAGAAGCUGGAAUGUUCGAUGUUCAUUUUGAAAACGUAAAUUUGGGAUCUCCGAGAGCCAGAUGGUGUAAGGUUAAGGCAGCUUUCAAGGUUAAAGCAGCGUUUAAGGAAGCCCGGAGACACACAACUGCCAGAAACCGAGGAGCUCUAGAAAGCGAAGGGUUGGUUCCUUUGGUUUGAUGGAUCCAAGACAACUACGAUCUUGUUCAUCAUCUUACGUGUCAACGAGAAUUGAAGAAGAGAAGGUGAUAACUAGGUGUUGUAGUGAUUGCAAGACCACCAAGACACCAAUGUGGAGAGGUGGACCAACUGGUCCCAAGUCACUUUGCAAUGCAUGUGGGAUCAGAUUCAGGAAACAGAGACGAUCAGAGUUAUUAGCUAUUCGUAUUAUUCAUAGCCACAAAGUCUUAAGAGUCAAAAAAGAUAAAACCAAAAUCAUCGUCAUUAUCAUCAUCACAUGGUGGCGUGGCUGUGAAGAAACAAUGAAAUUUGUGCAUAAUAUUUUACUAUAAAAUUUACAUAUUAUUGACAAUAUAUAAUAAUAAUAAAUAUUAUAAAACUAA